AUUGAACGCUGGCGGCAGGCCUAACACAUGCAAGUCGAGCGGAUGAAGGGAGCUUGCUCCUGGAUUCAGCGGCGGACGGGUGAGUAAUGCAUAGGAAUCUGACUGGUCGUGGGGGAUAACGUCCGGACACGGGCGCUAAUCCCGCAUCCGUCCUGAGGGAGAAAGUGGGGGAUCUUCGGUCCUCACGCUAUCAGAUGAGCCUAGGUCGGAUUAGCUAGUUGGUGGGGUAAAGGCGUACCAAGGCGACGAUCCGUAACUGGUCUGAGAGGCUGAUCAGUCACACUGGAACUGAGACACGGUCCAGACUCCUACGGGAGGCAGCAGUAGGGAAUAUUGGGCAAUGGGCGAAAGCCUGAUCCAGCCAUGCCGCGUGUGUGAAGAAGGUCUUCGGAUUGUAAAGCACUUUAAGUUGGGAGGAAGGGCAGUAAGUUAAUACCUGGCUGUUUUGACGUUACCUACAGAAUAAGCACCGGCUAACUACGUG
rnacentral:rRNA from 1 species